rnacentral:rRNA from 1 species
UACGUAGGGGGCAAGCGUUGUCCGGAUUUAUUGGGCGUAAAGAGCGUGUAGGCGGCUAUACAGGUCCGCUGUGAAAACUCGAGGCUCAACCUCGAGACGUCGGUGGAAACCGUAUGGCUAGAGUCCGGAAGAGGCGAGUGGAAUUCCUGGUGUAGCGGUGGAAUGCGCAGAUAUCAGGAGGAACACCAAUAGCGAAGGCAGCUCGCUGGGACGUUACUGACACUAAGGCGCGAAAGCGUGGGGAGCGAACAGG